AGCAGAAUGCAUUUCACUUAAUAGUACUCAUGUAGAGCACAAUUUUUCAUGUCUCUGGUUGUACACAAAGUAGAGUCACACCAUUCAUGGCUUUAUACAUAUACUUAGGGUAAUGAUGUCCACAUUCCAUCAUCUUUCCUACUCCCAUGCCCACUCCCUUCCCUUCCCUCCCAUUUGACCUAUCUAAAGUUCCUCCAUUCCUUCCAUGCUUCCUGCCAUUAUCGAUCAGCAUCCACAUAUCAUUUCAUCCAGCCUUUGGUUUUUUGGGAUUGGCUUACUUCACUUAGCAUAAUAUUCUCCUACUCCAUCAAUUUACCUGCAUAUGCCAUGAUUUUAUUCUCUUUUAAUGCUGAGUAAUAUUCCAUUGUGUAUAUAUACCACAUUUUCUUUAUCCAUUCAUCUAUUGAAGGGCAU
rnacentral:lncRNA from 1 species